GAAAACGUUCGUCUUCAGAUUUAUCUAUUUUAUGUACAGCGCAAGGAUAUCCUGUCCCAAAUUUCAGGUGAGAAUAUUCCACAAUGCUUUUAUUAAUUUAUAUUUUUCGCGAUUACAAUUUAAGUAAAUACAUUUUUGAGAUUAGUAGCCUUUUUUUAUUUACAAAUCGCUCUAUAACUUAGAGCCCGUUGGUACUAAAUCUCCUGCCCUGGCAUCUGAUUUUAAAGGAACUAUACUAAUUCGACCAUCAAAUAUGAACAUCGUUUUAUUGUGUCAAUCUCAAGGAUAUCCGGUACCAGAAUUUAGAGCCCAUUGGAUAUAAAGCACCUACAUUAUCAUCAGAUUUCUCUAGUACAGGUUUAAAAAAACGUGCAUUUUCACCAAUUGUAUUGUUAUGUCAGUCACAGGGCUACCCCAUACCGGAAUUUAGGUGAGAAGUGAUGGUUUUAUAAUAACUUCUUAUAUAUUUUUUGAUAGUGAUUUUAAUCACUGUCAGAUAUCAUUAUACUUGAUCCAUCUAUGACACGUCCCCACUGUGCUGCGACCCCCCUGUGCUGGUUUUUUUUUAUUUAAACUAUCCAUUACAAAAAAUUACUUACCACUCAUAUUUCAACAUUCAGGUAUUACUUAGGUUAAUAAUUUUAUUUUUGAGAAUUAUUUCAUUUAAGUUUUCAUAAAACUUCUAAUGCAGAUCCUGUAGGAUUUAAACCUCCUUCACUUUCAUCAGACUUUGAAGGAACUCGGGUGCGCAAAAUUUCAAAAAAUGAUAUUGCAUUAUUGUGUCAAUCACAGGGGUUCCCAAUUCCAGAGUUCAGGUGAGACAGUAGCUAUAACUUAAUAAAAUGAAAAAAAUAAUUAUAGAACCUGUUGGUAUAAAGUCUCCUACAUUUGAAACAAAAUCUGAAACGUAUAGAUUUCGAAUGAAAUCAGACACUGACUUGAGUUUACAAUGUGAAGCACAAGGUUUUCCUAUCCCAUUAUUCAGGUUAGAUAUAAUAUAAAGAUUUAAUUUCUAUAGAGCCCUUUGGUGCAAAAGCACCAUCAGUACCACCAGAAAGUAGGCACAACUAGGUUGAAAAAAAUGUACAGCAGAAUAUAAAUCUUCUAUGCUUAGCACAGAGCUUUCCGGUACCCCUUUUUCGGUGAGUUCAAUGUUAUGUUAUACAAAACCAAAACAUUAGGUCCAUCAUGAUUUAUUUUAGUAUUUAAAUUUUAGCAUUGUGGAAUAAUCUAAUUGCUUAAAAUAAAAUAUGCGUAAGGUAUUAAAGCAUAAAUUUAUGUGUAGAUACGAUAAGUGCUAAAGCGCCUACCGCACCAGAUGACAAAAGUAGAUCAAUAGUACGCAAAUCUAAUCAAUAUAUAACAUUGUUUUGUAUAACCCAAGCUUUUCCUGUACCAUCCUUCAGGUUUGUAAAAACUAAUUGACCAUGUCAAAUCCUUUUUUGGGGACAGUUAUUUUCUUAGGUUGAAAAUUAGGUAAAAGUUUUUAAAUAAAAGAAAUAAUUGUAUUUUUAUCGUAGUUUUUUUCCAAAUCUCUGUUUUGCAUCAUAUAACACACACAUAUAUAUAUAUACUUUCUUGGCGAAUACUAUUAAACUAAUACU